GACGAACGCUGGCGGCGUGCCUAAUACAUGCAAGUAGAACGCUGAAGGAGGAGCUUGCUUCUCUGGAUGAGUUGCGAACGGGUGAGUAACGCGUAGGUAACCUGCCUGGUAGCGGGGGAUAACUAUUGGAAACGAUAGCUAAUACCGCAUAAUAGUAGAUGUUGCAUGACAUUUGCUAAAAAGGUGCAAUUGCAUCACUACCAGAUGGACCUGCGUUGUAUUAGCUAGUUGGUGAGGUAACGGCUCACCAAGGCAACGAUACAUAGCCGACCUGCGAGGGUGGACGGCCAACCUGGGACUGGGACACCGCCCAGACUCCCACGGGAGGCAGCAGUAGGGGAUCUUCGGACAUGGACGGAAGUCUGACCGAGCAACGCCGGGGUAGUGAAGAAGGUUCUCGGAUCGUAAAGCUCUGUUGUAAGAGAAGAACGCGUGUGAGAGUGGAAAGGUCACACUGUGACGGUAUCUUACCAGAAAGGGACGGCUAACUACGUG
rnacentral:rRNA from 1 species